rnacentral:rRNA from 1 species
UGGGGGAUAUUGCACAAUGGGGGAAACCCUGAUGCAGCGACGCCGCGUGUAGGAAGACGGUCCUCUGGAUUGUAAACUACUGUCUUCGGGGACGAUAAUGACGGUACCCGAGGAGGAAGCUCCGGCUAACUACGUGCCAGCAGCCGCGGUAAUACGGAGGAUCCGAGCGUUAUCCGGAUUUAUUGGGUUUAAAAGGAGCGUAGGCGGAUUAUUAAGUCAGUUGUGAAAGUUUGCGGCUCAACCGUAAAAUUGCAGUUGAUACUGGUAGUCUUGAGUGCAGUAGAGGUGAGCGGAAUUCCUAGUGUAGCGGUGAAAUGCGUAGAUAUUAGGAAGAACACCAGUGGCGAAGGCGGCUUGCUGGACCGUAACUGACGCUGAGUCACGAAAGCGUGGGGAGCGAACA